UGUCCGCCGCCUCACCUUUAUCCAGGACCUCACCUGUUCGCUCUCCAGUACACCUGUCCACCGUCUGCACCUGUAUCCUUACUUCACCUGUCUAAUCUCCAGGUAAAGCAGGGGUUUAUCGUCUGUCCCUGUAUCCCUCCUCUCAACUGCCCUUCACACCUGGCUUCUUUCAGCGCCUGUACCUCUCCCUUCACCUGACAACUCUCCUUAUCUGCGCAACCCUAAGACUGAAGCUAUAAGAGACUGCAGAUUCUGAAAUCUGGAGCUAAAACCAAACUGAUGAAGGUACUCGACCGAAAACAUCACUACAUAUAAGUUGCUGAAUGUCCACUUCCUAACUAAGCAGCACUCAUCUUCCAUUUCCAUGGUCUGAUGGACAGGUCACCCAGAGCUCUUCAAGGGUUCGAAGCAGAUGAGGACGCCUUCCCUCCUCAGGCGAUAAAAAGUUAAUUUUCCAGCUUUCUCAGUUCCUGGGCUGCACUGCUUGCUUGAGAAGAUGAGACAGCUGACCUAAUUCUGAUCUUCUGCCAACACGUUUGUCAUUUUACCUAAGCCUGUUGAACACCCGGGAGUAACCUGUCCACUUACUGAGUCUGACGCUGGAUGCCUUGUCUUGUCAUAUCUGCUGCCGGGACAUAGAAAGCAAGGGCUUGAUGUUCCACUUUUCGGGCACUAUACAGAGGACCUGUGCACAAUGUUUGAUGUUCCACAGCAGGAUGGCUGAACAAAUGUGGCUCCCAGCAUUGAAGAUUCUUGGCAUAUCAACGAUAAUGGAAACAACCUUCAACUUGAAGUCAUCCAGACUAUGCAUUGUAU